rnacentral:lncRNA from 1 species
AGAGAGAUUGGAUGGUGAUGACACCAGGAUGAAUAAUUUGGAUGGAAGGAUGCAUGAAAUGCUCUAACACCAAAGAAUUCAAACUGAACUUUUUCAACAUCUUCUCCUUGCAUCAGGGGUGUCUGUCCCAAGGCCUUCACUUGAUGCUAACAAAAGGGGGGAGAUGGAGCCUUUACCUUCACCUAUAGAGCUUGUAGCAAGAAUCCCUCCUCCACCUAAAUCCGGCGUCAUGCAUUAUAUGAACAUGCCUUAAACAAGAUGUUAGGUCCAAAGUAUCGUAGAAGGGGGGGUUGAAUACGAUACUCACUACAAUUUAAAAUUCUUUCGAAUCUUGCGGAUAAAUAAAUUGCAGUCCUGUAAUGGGUUUCGUGUUCCGGAUAUUUAUUGGGUCGGUUUCUGAGGAUAUGAAAAUAUUAAACCAACACACAAUAUUUUCCAAGGUAUAUCUGUAUAUUGAUAAAUACCUCGAAGGUGCUAUAAAUCCAAACCCGAAGGUUGGCUACAAUGGCUAUUACUACUUACACUCACAAACCCUAGCUUCUAAAUAUAUAUAUAAUACAAAACUAAGCUAGAGUUUAUUUGUGUGUAGUAGUGUGCAAGGCACAAAGCCAUUCCACCAUAAAGGUGGUGGAGAGUGUGUAUAAAAAAUGAACUCACAUCUCAAGUAUUUAUAGACUUUUCAUUAACUAACCCUAGUUAACUUCAUGAAUUGGCACCACCUUAAUGUUCACUAAAGUUGCGCCAAGUAAGGAAGCUGCGCCACUUGAAGUUGCGCCAGGAGACCACAGUGAUAUAACUUAGAAUAAUUCUAAGUUAUUAACAAACUUGCGCCUGGGGUGGUGUCACUCUUCUCUUUCUUCGAACUUGCGCUAUAUGAGAGAGUAAUACAAGUAGACUUCCAUGCCUUAGUCUAUAUUGUUCCAUCCUGUAACUUGCGCCAAUAUUAUGUUCCUGUGAUACUGUUAUCACUCUAGGUUAAAUUAUUAACUCAACCAGGCGCAACAUGUGAUAUCUCCACAAUAACCUUGCGCUCUGCACUGCAUACCAGUGUCUCCCUGUUAUCACUCCAGAAUACUGGCGCCACUAGCCUUGCAGUAUAUACAUACGUAUAGAUUAGUUGCGCUCAACCUUCCCUGUGCUCCACUGUGUCUUUGCCUUAGAAAAAAUCCAAGUAAAGAGGAACUUGCGCCUCACAGUGUGUUCCUUGUGCUCACAGUGAAACCCUAGGACACAUGCACAUGCAAACCCUAGGUUGCCCUAGACACCUGACAUCAUCAUAUGCAUGCAUAAUAUAUAUAAUAUAAUAUAUUAAGUUGUUAUUAUAUUAAUAAAUAAAAGUAUAUAUAAAUAUAUACACAUAUAUAUAUAUAUUUUAUUUAUAUGAACAUAUAAUAAUAUAUGUACAUAUAUUUAAAUAUAUU